rnacentral:rRNA from 1 species
UACGAAGGGCGCUAGCGUUGUUCGGAAUCACUGGGCGUAAAGCGCACGUAGGCGGAUGUGUCAGUCAGGGGUGAAAUCCCGGAGCUCAACUUCGGAACUGCCUUUGAUACAGCACAUCUGGAGUCCGGAAGAGGUGGGUGGAAUUCCUAGUGUAGAGGUGAAAUUCGUAGAUAUUAGGAAGAACACCGGUGGCGAAGGCGGCCCACUGGUCCGGUACUGACGCUGAGGUGCGAAAGCGUGGGGAGCAAACAGG